GUUAACACAUUCAAGGACUCAUUACUGCAGAUAAAAAUUGGCUCUGGGCUUUUCUUGUAACUCCAUUCAGGGCAUGCUGCCAAAUCUAACAAAAGCAAUCAAUUCCCAAGCACCAUUUUAAAGACUCACAUUCACAUACACUCUGCCUUUUGACCUCACCUCUAUACUAAAACUGGUUUCCUGAAGGUCACCAAUGAUUUUUCUAAUCAUUUAACAUUGACUUUUCCUCAGUUUCUAUCCUCAACCUCUCCAUAGCUAUGAUGCCACUUGUCAUCUACUCCUUGAAAUUUCCUUCCACAGGUGAACCUGAACUCUUCAAGCUCCUCUCUGGUGUCUUUAACUGAUUCUUCUCCAUUGAUUUCUUUUUCUAUUCCUCAAAUAUAGGCAUUCUCCCAGGUUUUGUUCUUGUUCCCCUUCUCUAAGUCCUUGGCAAUUUCUUUUAUUUCAAGUCUUUAAGUUGUGCCACGGUGCCCCUCAGAACCACCAUGUCCAUUUGAUGUCAGCAUCAUCAUCCCUUCCAUGAUCUACACACAUGAUCAUGGCUCAUUAUAUUCUUAGUCACAGAGGUGAGAAACUUCAUUUAGUUUGGUCUUAUGCCUCUGUCCCACUGUGAUUAAUGCUGCCAAUAUUCCUCCAAAAUAUUCUGACUGCCCCCUCCCAUCUAGGCCCUAAUAAUCUCUCACCAAGAGUCCUUUAAAACCUCCAACCUAUGGGAGUAAUCAUCCUUAAAG
rnacentral:lncRNA from 1 species